CCUGCCUCUGCCCGGCAGGCAUGGGGAUUUGAUGUCCUGAGUGUAUCCCUGCCUUUUUCUCUGCAUGGCAGGGAUGGGGAUUUGGUGUCUCAAGUGUGUCCCUGCCUUUCGCUUUGCCCAGCAGCCAUGGGGAUUUAUAUCUCGGGUAUGUUCCUGCCUUUCCCUCUAUCUGGCAGUGAUGGGGAUUUGGUAUCCCGGGUGUUCCUGCCUUUUCUUCUGCAUGGCAGUGAUGGGGAUUUGGUAUCCUGGGUGUUCCUGCCUUUCCCUCUGCCCAUCAGGGACGGGGAUUUGGUAUCCUGGGUGUUCCUGCCUUUCCCUCUGCCCAUCAGGGACGGGGAUUUGGUAUCCCGGGUUGUUCCUGCCUUGCCCCGAGCCGGGCUGGGCUGUGCAGGAGCGGAGCUGCAGCUGGAGGGAGCUCCGGACCGGAGUUAAUGAGGAGCCGGCGCUAAUUAAGCAGCGCUGCAUUCACCCAGGGAUACGGAGAUGCUCCAGGAGGAGCGGGGGUGAUGCAGGAACCGGAGCUGACAGCAGGAAACUCGGGAUGUGGGGAAAAGAGAGACCAAACUCGCUCAGUGCUUUCACUGAGAUCCUCACCCUGGAAGAGGGCAGAGCUUCAGGUGCCCAUUCCAGGGUCCCCCUUCAGAUUCCCCAUUCCAUGGUCACCCCUGCUGCUCUCACUGGUGUGACUGGGAAAGAUCCUGGGAGCAGCCCCAGUCCCAGCUCAGAGCCUGGAGCAGCCCUGGGGACACUGGUGGGAUCCUCUCUUUGCAGGGCGGAUUUUUCAGCUGAAAAGCAAAGAGGAAAAGAAGCUGAAAGGUUCCCUCUGAUUCCAACCCAGCCUCUCUGCUGUUCCACACCAAACAAGGUGGACAAAUGAGAGAUUUUCCAGCCCUUGUGUGUCCCUGUCCUUUGCUCUCCUCUGCAUGUGCAGCUCCUGACAGACAGACAGACAGACCCUGGAUGGACAGGACAGUGGGGACAGGGAUGGUUCCUUCCCUCAGC
rnacentral:lncRNA from 1 species